rnacentral:lncRNA from 1 species
GUGUUAUUACAGAACAAGGCAAAUGUGGAUGAGAAACGUCAAGAUGGCAGCACACCUCUACAUGAUGCAGCCUACGAGGGACACAGGGAGGUUGUGGAGGUGUUAUUACAGAACAAGGCAAAUGUUUAUGAGAAAGACGAUAAAGAAGAAACUGCUUUACAAAAAGCAGAGGCACAACAUCACGAUGAUAUUGCAAGGAUUAUAACUGAGGCAACAAAUAUACAUGACCUGACAACCAACCAUGGUACAAUUACAGAUAGGGUGACAACCGAUGGCCAGUUUCUUAUGAAAUCAUCGUCAAUUCCACACGGAAGCUUUAACAAUGGCGGUUGGCUUACAUCCACACCACUAACAUCAACGUGUCCCGUGAACCAGACAUCAGUAGAAUUGCCAGGGGUGUAUGUUCCGAGUCAACUGGGACAAGCAGUUUCCACAGACAGACAACGUGUUAUGGAAGAGAGAUACAUCGCCUUGCAGUCAUCCCAACCAUAUCAUAUAGACGGAAAUCUUAACAACUUUCUUACAGAUCCUGCACGCUUGGAGAUACGUUCACCCAAUCAAAGAUCAGAAACCAUAUAUGGAAUCUCAAGUCAUGUUCCCACCUAUGGCCAUGCUCCAGUAGUUGGUGACACAGUGCCUAGUUCAGAUACCACUAGUAAUUCUGAGAAUGUCAUCAUUCACUACACUGAGUCUGGGGAAAAGAUAGAGCUGCGGCAGCUCUAAAAGUGGUCUAGAAAGGAGUUACCAUUGUUAUUAUGGUGUCCGGUGUUACAGUAUACAUAUACAGUUUUACAACCUCUUUUAGGAGUCAGUAGUCCGAAUUUGGUUUGCAGAAAAUAACGAGCUAUUUGUCAUUUCUGUCGAUGUAGCAUUGAUGUUUCGGUAAGCAUAUCAAUUCCA